GACGAACGCUGGCGGCGUGCUUAACACAUGCAAGUCGAACGGAAAGGCCCUGCUUUUGUGGGGUGCUCGAGUGGCGAACGGGUGAGUAACACGUGAGUAACCUGCCCUUGACUUUGGGAUAACUUCAGGAAACUGGGGCUAAUACCGGAUAGGAGCUCCUGCUGCAUGGUGGGGGUUGGAAAGUUUCGGCGGUUGGGGAUGGACUCGCGGCUUAUCAGCUUGUUGGUGGGGUAGUGGCUUACCAAGGCUUUGACGGGUAGCCGGCCUGAGCGGGUGACCGGCCACAGUGGGACUGAGAUACGGCCCAGACUCCUACGGGAGGCAGCAGUGGGGAAUAUUGCACAAUGGGCGGAAGCCUGAUGCAGCAACGCCGCGUGCGGGAUGACGGCCUUCGGGUUGUAAACCGCUUUCGCCUGUGACGAAGCGUGAGUGACGGUAAUGGGUAAAGAAGCACCGGCUAACUACGUG
rnacentral:rRNA from 1 species